GAAUUGUGGGUUUGCACAAUCCUUGAUUUCUUUAUACAGACUACACUGAUGACUGGACAAAGGGCUCAUUUCUAGGUUUUUUUCUCUCUUUACACUGCUAGUUCGAAGAAGAAAUCAGAGCCUCAGCAAGUUUUACAGGGGGAGAGAUUGUCAAGAUGGGUUUCUCAAUGCAGCCAUAUGGAAUACAAGCAAUGCUCAAAGAAGGACACAAGCAUCUUUCGGGUCUUGACGAAGCUGUUCUAAAAAAUAUCGAUGCCUGCAAGCAGCUUUCCACUAUCACUCGCACUUCGCUUGGUCCUAACGGUAUGAAUAAGAUGGUCAUUAAUCAUUUGGACAAGCUUUUUGUCACCAAUGAUGCUGCCACUAUUGUCAAUGAACUUGAGGUUCAGCAUCCUGCUGCCAAAAUUUUGGUCUUAGCUGGCAAGGCUCAACAAGAGGAAAUUGGUGAUGGAGCUAACUUGACUAUUUCUUUUGCUGGUGAGCUCCUUCAAAAUGCAGAGGAGCUUAUCAGGAUGGGCCUGCACCCAAGUGAGAUCAUUAGUGGGUACAGUAAAGGAAUCAACAAGACAAUUGAAAUCUUGGAUGAAUUGGUGGAGAAAGGUUCUGAAACAAUGGAUGUGAGGAAUAAGGAACAGGUCAUUUCUCGGAUGAAGGCUGCUGUUGCUAGCAAGCAAUUUGGACAAGAAGACAUUUUAAGUAAUCUUAUUGCUGAUGCAUGCAUCCAAGUAUGUCCCAAGAACCCAGCAAACUUUAACGUGGAUAAUGUUCGGGUCGCAAAGCUUGUGGGAGGAGGUUUGCAUAAUUGCACUGUAGUUCAUGGAAUGGUAUUGAAAAUUGACACUGUGGGUACUAUAAAGAGAAUGGAGAAAGCAAAGGUUGCUGUGUUUGCUGGGGGUGUUGAUACCUCUGCAACUGAAACCAAGGGAACUGUCCUAAUUCACUCUGCUGAGCAGCUAGAGAAUUAUGCCAAAACUGAAGAAGCUAAAGUUGAGGAGCUCAUUAAAGCUGUUGCAGAUUCUGGUGCCAAAGUAAUUGUUAGUGGAGCAGCUGUUGGAGAAAUGGCUUUGCAUUUUUGUGAACGUUACAAACUCAUGGUUUUGAAGAUUAGCUCAAAGUUUGAAUUGAGACGAUUUUGCCGCACCACGGGUGCUGUUGCUCUUUUGAAACUUAGCCAACCAAACCCAGAUGACUUGGGAUAUGUAGAUUCCAUAUCCGUUGAGGAAAUUGGUGGAGUUAGGGUCACUAUUGUGAAAAAUGAAGAGGGUGGUAACUCUGUAUGCACUGUGGUCUUACGGGGAAGCACUGAUAGUAUAUUAGAGGACCUUGAAAGAGCUGUUGAUGAUGGAGUUAACACCUAUAAGGCUAUGUGUAGAGACAGUCGAAUAAUACUUGGAGCUGCAGCCACUGAAAUUGAGUUGGCUAGAAGACUAAAGGAAUUCUCUUUUAAAGAAACAGGGUAAUUUGUUUCUUACCCUUAUUUGUAUUGAUGUACAUGGAAUGGAAGUGUAGUCUUUCCUCCAAAAGUUUUGGAGGUAUUAAGAUGCUUUGUAGAAGCUUAGACAUGGAGACAGGGCAGUAGGCCUUCUUGUUGAUAAGUUAUUACAUCCACCUUGCAGAUUGGAUCAGUAUGCUAUUGCAAAAUUUGCUGAGAGCUUUGAGAUGGUACCCAAAACACUGGCCGAGAAUGCUGGUCUUAAUGCAAUGGAGAUCAUAUCAUCUCUUUAUGCUGAACAUGCAUCUGGAAAUACCAAAGUGGGUAUUGACUUGGAAGAAGGUGUUUGUAAGGAUAUGUCAACCAUGAAUAUCUGGGACCUUUAC
rnacentral:misc_RNA from 1 species